rnacentral:rRNA from 1 species
GACGAACGCUGGCGGCGUGCUUAACACAUGCAAGUCGAACGAUGAACCACUUCGGUGGGGAUUAGUGGCGAACGGGUGAGUAACACGUGGGCAAUCUGCCCUGCACUCUGGGACAAGCCCUGGAAACGGGGUCUAAUACCGGAUACUGAUCCUCGCAGGCAUCUGCGAGGUUCGAAAGCUCCGGCGGUGCAGGAUGAGCCCGCGGCCUAUCAGCUAGUUGGUGAGGUAACGGCUCACCAAGGCGACGACGGGUAGCCGGCCUGAGAGGGCGACCGGCCACACUGGGACUGAGACACGGCCCAGACUCCUACGGGAGGCAGCAGUGGGGAAUAUUGCACAAUGGGCGAAAGCCUGAUGCAGCGACGCCGCGUGAGGGAUGACGGCCUUCGGGUUGUAAACCUCUUUCAGCAGGGAAGAAGCGAAAGUGACGGUACCUGCAGAAGAAGCGCCGGCUAACUACGUGCCAGCAGCCGCGGUAAUACGUAGGGCGCAAGCGUUGUCCGGAAUUAUUGGGCGUAAAGAGCUCGUAGGCGGCUUGUCACGUCGGUUGUGAAAGCCCGGGGCUUAACCCCGGGUCUGCAGUCGAUACGGGCAGGCUAGAGUUCGGUAGGGGAGAUCGGAAUUCCUGGUGUAGCGGUGAAAUGCGCAGAUAUCAGGAGGAACACCGGUGGCGAAGGCGGAUCUCUGGGCCGAUACUGACGCUGAGGAGCGAAAGCGUGGGGAGCGAACAGGAUUAGAUACCCUGGUAGUCCACGCCGUAAACGGUGGGCACUAGGUGUGGGCAACAUUCCACGUUGUCCGUG